CAAAAAAUAGUUUAAUAAAAAUAAUAAUUUUGGAGAUUAUAGAUAGAGAUGUUCUUUUUUUUUGA
rnacentral:tRNA from 1 species